rnacentral:rRNA from 1 species
ACGAACGCUGGCGGCGUGCUUGACACCUGCAAGUCGAACGGAAAGGCCUGCUUUCCCUUGUGGAUUGCGGGUACUCGAGUGGCGAACGGGUGAGUAACACGUGAGUGAUCUGCCCCCAACUUGGGUAUAAGCCUGGGAAACUGGGUCUAAUUCCCGAUAGGACUGCAGGGUGGUGCCUGUGGUGGAAAACGAUUUUCUAGUGGUUGGGGAUGAGCUCGCGGCCUAUCAGCUUGUUGGUGGGGUAAUGGCCUACCAAGGCGGCGACGGGUAGCCGGCCUGAGAGGGUGGACGGCCACAUUGGGACUGAGAUACGGCCCAGACUCCUACGGGAGGCAGCAGUGGGGAAUAUUGCACAAUGGGCGGAAGCCUGAUGCAGCGACGCCGCGUGGGGGAUGACGGCCUUCGGGUUGUAAACUCCUUUCGACCGCGAGGAAGCCACCUGGUUGGAAGGGUGGUGACGGUAGUGGUAGAAGAAGCACCGGCUAACUACGUG